rnacentral:lncRNA from 1 species
AUUCUUCACUGAUGUCUGCAGGACAUUUGAAAAAAUAGUCCCACCUUUUCAGUGGCUGCCAGGGCCCUCCAUGGGAUUACCCAAUGGAUCCUUCUGGUUGGAGUGCAAAGACUACAUAGAAGCUUGCAGGACAGUUGAGGAGAAGACAUGCUCUCUAACUUGUGUCACUAGGCAUCACAUCAGCUCUAGAAACUGCACUACUUCAAUAGCAGGCAGCCUGAAGCAGAUGGACGAGCGGAAACCAUGUCACAAGAAGACAUAA